GGGAAAGCCUUCAGGCAUGACACCCGCCGAUGAGGAUGCCUGAUGGCUCUUCACGGUGGCCAGCCGUGAGAGUACAUCGACCUAUUGUGUGUCGGAACCUGAGAUCUUUGAUACCAUAUAUUAUUGCGGAGUGUCGGAACCUGAGAUCUUUGGUACCAGAUAUUAUUGCGGAUGUUAUGGCAGCGACUAAGGUUGAGGUGACGCAAGGGGGGCGGCCGGAGAUCUUGUCCACAACCGAGCAAGAGGAAAGGAUUUUCUUACUUAAUGCUUGCUUUAUUAGAUUGAUACAUCUUCUCUCCUUAUAGAGAGACUUACUUGACCCCUAAAGAAAUGUCUUAACGAAAUCAAUUUAACUUAUCUCUUCCCUUAUCCUAACUAACCGAAUAUUUUAUAUCCUAACUAACUAAAUCAAUUUAACUUAUUUUUUCCUUAUUCUAUCGGCUCCACUUGCCAUAACAUAUUGCCAUCUAGAAAUGAACGGUUUGUUGUUAAUAAUGAUGUACAUGUACUAUGAGUUGAUUUAGAUAUAUGAAAAAUCAGUUUUCAAAUAUUAGUUUGUGUAUCAGUUUUCAUGAUUGUUUGAAUUAUGAUAUUAAAUUUGGGAAUCUCUCAUAGAUAAUGUUUUUGUUAGGGAAGUCAUCCUGAUUUUGUCUGUGGUAGAUGGCUACUGCUGUUUUCACUUUUCUAAAAUAGAUGCACAUCUGAUUUUCUUGCAUUAAAAUAAAGGUAAUGUCUUUUGAAUGCUUGCAAGCUGUGUCAGAUGUGAAUUGCAAAUAACAUCCGAAUUUUUGUGUAAAAAGAAAUCCAUGUGAAGAGAAAACGGGCACCCAAACAUGGUAGCUGCAAUGUUACUAAUGAUGUAAUAUGAGUUAAUUAUGAAAUGUAAUAUUCUGAAGUCUACGUCUUUAUUAUCGUUUGAACUAAAAAAAUGGUAGAUCCAGUGCCGUAGGCUACCACAUGAGAGCUUGUACCAUAUAAGAGCUUGUUCGGUUAGGAGUGGAUUGAAGGAGAUUGGAGGGGAUUAAAUCCAUUCCUAGUCAAAAUUGAAUAAGAGGGGAUUUAAUCCCCUCAAUCCACUCCGAUCCUCAUGCAACCAAACAAGACCUGAGUGGGGUCUGAGAAAUGAAUAAACCGAGACAAUCCCACAUGAGUGGGGUCUAGGGAAGGGAUAAAUCGAGAUAGGCCUUCUUAGAUGCGGAGAGACAGCUCUCACCGCUACACCAUGCUUUUCCUUACUUUAUUAUUGUUUAAACUAUGGUAUUAAAUUCAUGGAGUAUGUCACAUGUAUAAUCGUUUAUCAGGGACCUCACUCUGACUUUGCUGGGCCAACAUGUGGGAGUACAGCGUGUGUAGCAUUAAUAAGAAACACCCAACUUGUUGUGGCAAAUGCUGGUGAUUCCCGAUG
rnacentral:lncRNA from 1 species